rfam:Chaetomium globosum CBS 148.51 scaffold_6 genomic scaffold, whole genome shotgun sequence.
GGGAGCUUGGCUCAGUUGGAAGAGCGCAGGUCUCAUACCCUUGUAUGAUUCGGUGUGAACAUCGAAACAAUCCUGAGGUCGUGAGUUCGAGCCUCACAGUUCCCA